AGUAAGACAUUAAUAAUAUUCCCUUCUGAAUAGUAUGGUUAACUGGCACAGCUGACUAGCAUUAACAUUAAUACAGCGACCUUAUGAUUGACAAAACAGACUCUCUCUAGUAACAAGAUAUCAACAUGACAGAUAGCAGGCCCUGAAAGAAAUGUAAGUAUUUUACCCCAAAAUAUAUUUCUUUGACAUAUUUUGAAAUACCCCUGCAAAGCUGUCUCUUCUGGGGAAAAUCUACAUUCCAUAGAGAAUCCCCUUCCCUUUCCAGGUCUUUUUCCCUAUCCAGGAGAGAAUUAAUUAAGAGUCUGGUACGUUUUUAUGUCUGAUAAGAAACAUUUACAAUCUAUUCUCUCUGAAGCCUGCUAACUAGAGGCUUCAUCUGCAAUAAUAAGAACCUUGGUCUCUGCAACCCCUUAUCUUAACCCAGACACUCCCUUCGAUUGAUUCCAGGUCUUUAGAUGAACUCUUUCAACCAACUGCCAAUCAGAAAAUCUUUGAAUCCUCCUACGACAUGGAAGCCACUUCAAGUUGUCCCGCCUUUUUGGACCAAACCAAUGAAAACUCUACUCUCACUGCCCUGUUUGAUCUGCAUAUGAAACUCGGAAAAACCAUAAGACACCUGGACGACAGCUGGCCAGAAGCUGCCCCGUACCCUAACCCGCAAGGAUGUGGACACAUUUCUAGAAAUCACUCCAGCUUUUAAAGUAGAGAGACACUGGCUAUUGAAGCAGAAAAUCUAUGUUGAACACAAGCUGCACCGCAUACUAGCUGAGCAACUAACUACUGGCAUGUUCCUUCACUUGCUGACUUGCAAAACAAAUUUCUUUCCUAUCUAUCUCUUAAGGACACAAGAUAAUAUAAUAUUGUUAAUAUUACAUUUAUUAAUGAUGUAAUAUAUGAGAAAACACAUUGUAAACUCUAAAAUACUAAAAAUGUAAGGAAACUGUACUAGCAGUAUCAAGAUAUUUUCCCAUCAUAACAGCUAACAGUUAUUCUAUUGUUGUAGUCAGCCAUUUUUCUCUCAAUUCUGUUAAAAUAAAA
rnacentral:lncRNA from 1 species